rnacentral:rRNA from 1 species
AGGAGCUUGCUCUUCUUGGAUGAGUUGCGAACGGGUGAGUAACGCGUAGGUAACCUGCCUUGUAGCGGGGGAUAACUAUUGGAAACGAUAGCUAAUACCGCAUAACAAUGGGUGACUCAUGUCAUUUAUUUGAAAGGAGCAAAUGCUCCACUACAAGAUGGACCUGCGUUGUAUUAGCUAGUAGGUGAGGUAACGGCUCACCUAGGCGACGAUACAUAACCGACCUGAGAGGGUGAUCGGCCACACUGGGACUGAGACACGGCCCAGACUCCUACGGGAGGCAGCAGUAGGGAAUCUUCGGCAAUGGGGGCAACCCUGACCGAGCAACGCCGCGUGAGUGAAGAAGGUUUUCGGAUCGUAAAACUCUGUUGUAAGUCAAGAACGAGUGUGAGAGUGGAAAGUUCACACUGUGACGGUAGCUUACCAGAAAGGGACGGCUAACUACGUGCCAGCAGCCGCGGUAAUACGUAGGUCCCGAGCGUUGUCCGGAUUUAUUGGGCGUAAAGCGAGCGCAGGCGGUUUGAUAAGUCUGAAGUUAAAGGCUGUGGCUCAACCAUAGUUCGCUUUGGAAACUGUCAAACUUGAGUGCAGAAGGGGAGAGUGGAAUUCCAUGUGUAGCGGUGAAAUGUGUAGAUAUAUGGAGGAACACCGGUGGCGAAAGCGGCUCUCUGGUCUGUAACUGACGCUGAAGCUCGAAAGCGUGGGGAGCGAACAGGAUUAGAUACCCUGGUAGU